rnacentral:rRNA from 1 species
AGAGUUUGAUCAUGGCUCAGGACGAACGCUGGCGGCGUGCUUAACACAUGCAAGUGGAGCGACGAACCGGGCUUCGGCCCGGGGCAAAGCCGCGAACGGGUGAGUAUCACGUGGGUAACCUGCCCCGAUGACCGGGACAACCCGAGGAAACUCGGGCUAAUACCGGAUGUGCUCGCAGCACACCAGUGCAGUGAGUAAAGGAAGCUUCGGCCUCCGCAUUGGGAUGGGCCCGCGGCCCAUUAGCUUGUUGGUGAGGUAAAGGCUCACCAAGGCGACGAUGGGUAGCUGGUCUGAGAGGACGAUCAGCCACACUGGGACUGAGACACGGCCCAGACUCCUACGGGAGGCAGCAGUGGGGAAUCUUGCGCAAUGCGCGAAAGCGUGACGCAGCAACGCCGCGUGAGGGAAGACGGCCUUCGGGUUGUAAACCUCUUUCAGGAGGGACGAAGGUUCAGGCGCGAAUAGCGUCCUGGACUGACGGUACCUCCAGAAGAAGCCCGGCUAACUACGUGCCAGCAGCCGCGGUA